rnacentral:rRNA from 1 species
GAUGAACGCUGGCGGCGUGCCUAAUACAUGCAAGUCGAGCGAAUGGAUUAAGAGCUUGCUCUUAUGAAGUUAGCGGCGGACGGGUGAGUAACACGUGGGUAACCUGCCCAUAAGACUGGGAUAACUCCGGGAAACCGGGGCUAAUACCGGAUAACAUUUUGAACCGCAUGGUUCGAAAUUGAAAGGCGGCUUCGGCUGUCACUUAUGGAUGGACUCGCGUCGCAUUAGCUAGUUGGUGAGGUAACGGCUCACCAAGGCAACGAUGCGUAGCCGACCUGAGAGUGUGAUCGGCCACGCGGGGACUGGGACACGGCCCAGACUCCUACGGGAGGCAGCAGUAGGGAAUCUUCCGAACUGGACGAAAGUCUGACGGAGCAACGCCGCGUGAGUGAUGAAGGCUUUCGGGUCGUAAAACUCUGUUGUUAGGGAAGAACAAGUGCUAGUUGAAUAAGCUGGCACCUUGACGGUACCUAACCAGAAAGCCACGGCUAACUACGUGCCAGCAGCCGCCGUAA